UGUUACAUGUUGCCACAUUUCAGUAUUUCACCGAUUUAGAAAAUUAAGAUAUUUGGUUCAAAAAAUAUAUUAAAAUAUAGUUUUAAUAAAAAGGAGAAAAUGAUCCUACUCAGAAACUAUCUUUCCAAAAAGUAAUUUUUAUCGUCGAUAUAUUCAUGCUACUUAAGACAAAAUAAAUAUAUGACCCGCUAAAUUGUAAACCAAAUUCAUAAAUCUGACCUCCUUGGAAAAGUGCCUUGAUUAGUUAUUCAGAGAAGAGUAUCGAAUGAAUAAACUCUUAAUAAUAUAUCAUAUUCAUAUAGAGCGAUUAGACACAAAAGAUUCACGGAAUUAACCAAUGGAUUUCUUAAGGUCCUCAGCCUUGAAUUAAAUAAAUUUAUGGUUAUUUUCUUAACGUCUUUAUACAGUUUCUUUUGUCAACAUCCUUAUUUGCACAAAACAACAAACAUCCGACUACUCAAAUGUUCGUCUGCUUCUCACAGUGUCCCACAACUCAAAUGUUCUAUAUCAGUAAUUCACAUGUGUAUUCUGUUUGAAAGAGAGUGUAGGUGUGAGAUUAUAGUCUAUUAUGUCAAUGAAAGACAUAUUACAUAAGAUAACUGAAGCUAACCAAAAAUAAACAAAUGGAAUAACUUAGAUCAUAACAGAAUUAAAAUAAAUUUUAGUAAUCUAAAAGGAUUUGUCACCAGUCUUCUUUUUUUUAUAACUGUGUCACCAGUCUUCUUGAAAAGGAAAAAAAAAAUGGAUUUCUGAACAUAAAUAAAAAUGCAUGUCUAUUUUUAAUUUUCAUGACUUUUUUGCCAGUUUCAAAUUUUGAGAAGAGUCACUCCACAAUUUUAAAAAGUUCAGCAAAAAAGGUUCCCGUGAUUUCCUAAUUUUAUAAUUAUUUUAAAUUUAUAGAAAUCUAAAAUGAUCUGAUACCUGGUGAAUGAAGUGAAAAAGAGGGGAAAUGUUAGGACAGAGAGAGUGGAAUUAGACAAAAGAUUCUGCCAAAAUUAGAAGAAGAUAUCUCUCAUCAUAGAAAUGACACAUCCAACGGCUGAAAGAGAAAGUCUAACAAGUCUAGUGGCCUCUCUCUCUCUUUUCUUUUAUAUAAAACUUUUGUAUUUUUUUACCAUAUGUGAAUAAAGGGCCUCGACUUACUUAUAGCUUACUUGAUCGAAGUUGCAGAGUUUACUCGCAGUAGUUCCCGCCCUUUAUUGUUAAUUGCAUUAGCCCCUCCCUACGUUUUUCUACAUCAUCACUAAUUUUCUAAAUGCUUUAUGGAAAGACCCUUUUUAUUGUUUAUUUUUAUUUCAAAGUGAAAGUGUCUUUCAUUAUUUGUAAAGGUUUCGUUUUAUCCUUUUCCCACAUAUUGUUUGGCUUUCAUGGUUAAGAUUGCAAUUGGCUGUCAAGGUUUACGUCAAGGUUAUUUUUAAUUUUAUUGUUCAUACUCUUUUGUCUUUCUUAUUAGGUUCGGCUGAAACCAGAAGACUUCAAAUAGAACUAUAGAAAUUAGAAAGGCCGUACCAGCAAAUAAUGGUCGAAUGGAACCGAAUAGAGCUUACACGAAUAAUCGAGUAACAAAGAAAAAAAAAAGAAUAAUCGAGUAACAAGCCUGGUUCCAUAACCAAAACAGAAGGAAAAAAAUAUUCAGAUAUAUGCAUAUAAUACUCUUAAUUCUCGGAUAUCUGGACUAUUACUGAGGGAUUUUGUAUUUUAUAGAUCUUAAACAAGUUACUAAAUAAAACCAGAUCUUUAUAAAUGAAGAGAACCGAAUCUCCCUUUUUGACAUUAUAUCUUCAUGUUUGCUUUUUGUAAAACUUUUUGAUAAUCUAGAAGUUCAUAGUAUUUCUAAGAAACUAUUAGCAUUUGUCUAGCAACUAAAGAAACUGGAAUAAUUAAGGACAAAUAAUAGUGGAGAGUGGGAUGGGGAAAAGAAGUAGAAUGAGUCAUACGAUUGAACUUUACCGAACACUAAAAACAAUUCUUUGUAAGUCAUAUUUCUGAAUAAAGUUAUUUUUCUUUUGUUGAAAAAAAGGUAUGACCUGCGCAACUUCUUCAUUCAUGCUGGUUUCGUUAACCCUUCUUGCGGAUGCAUUUUUAUUUGUCUUCUGUGCAAGUUAUCUUCUUUAUGUAUAUAGUAAUAUCAUCUCUGUAGAUAAUAUCAUCAUCACAAACAAUAAAAUGAUACAAUUAUUCGGUUCAUCAAGGUUCUUGCCAACAUAUUUUCUCUCAAGGAUUUUGGUGCACUUUUGUAUAUUCUUGGGAUGGAAGCUACUCCCAACUCAUUGGGGCUUUUCCUCACACAAAUCAAGUGGAAAAAAUGGGCAAAUGCAAUGCCCGUCUCAAUGCCGAUAUGCUCAACUGAGCAUAUCAUAGCCACGCCAGGAGUUGUACUCUUAGUCUUGUUCAACCGUACUCUUAGUACAUAAGCCUGAAGGAUGCUACUCUAUAAGUCAAAAGGAUUGCCUUCUUACUCUCUGAAUUUCAUAUACCGAUCUCAACAACACGAUAAUGUAGGAGCAACAUAUUAUAAGUGCUAACCCAGUGUUUCACUCUUCUAUGAGCACUUGAUUACCAUUUUGUUCGAGAACUUUUUCAAGCAAAACAACUACGAGUGUCUCACAUCAGCUCUGUUGAUCAACUUGAUGACGCUUUCACUAAGCCUCUUCUGCAAUCCCGGUUCAUAACUUAACGAUAAAGAUUGGACUGACUGAAAAACGUUCAUUUUGGGGUGCAUGUUGGAUAUACAUAUAGAUAAUUACAGAUAAUGAUCUAGUGUUAAAGAUAAUCAUUCGUGUAGAUUUAUGGUUGUCUUGAGUUAUAGGAUGUUUUCUAAAGAUCUCUUGUAAUGCAUAUGAAUACUUCUUUGCAGACAAGAAGAACAAAUAUUUGUGUGUUUGAACACUAACAACAUCUUACACAUUCUGAGAAGAAAUAGUCUAAGUUCUACGGAGACUCAUCUUGGAGUAGGCAAAAGGAAAAGCACCAAGCAGGUCACUUGACUUGUAAACUUAGGUCAGUUCUUCUGAAUUAUGUUCCAGGUUUAGCUCAAUUUCAACAAGGUUUUCUCCCUGUAGGACGCAAAAGGAAAGAACAUGACGAGAAAUUGUGACACUAAUCUAUCCAAUUGUCUGUUUUCCUUGUGUUUAUUUAGGAACAUUCACAUCCUUUUUGGUUCUAUAAAUCUACAACUAUUUUUAGAUUCACUAUUUGAUCACAACAUUUAGCAUAUAUAUUAAUUAAGUUGUGCUAGUGGAGUCCGUGUUGUAUCAACAUUUUAUAUUUUAAAAACAUGUUUUAUAAUAUACGAGUAUUAGUAUACAUAUGACAGUGAACGACUUUGUUGUUGUUAUUGUGUUGAGAUAUGAAAGCUUUUAUCAUUAGUUGGUUUCUUUGAAGAAAUUGAGGUAGCAAUGUAGUAAAAAUCCGCAGGUUUAAGUUUUGAACUCGUGAUAAGCCACAAUAAAUUUACCGGUAGACUAAGUAAAGAGAUAUCUUUACAUAGGACGGAAACGGAAUACAUGUUUUCUCAAAAGAAAGUAUGUUUGAGAAGCGCUCAAUGGCCAAACAUAUGGCAACACAUUGUACAUGCUGACUAUGUUAUGAAACCGAUUAUAGAAGAGGUCAUAGCCAAGAUAUGGAACAAAGAACCCCCUUAUGAUUCAGUAUUAGGUUUAGUCGUUUAAUAGAGAAAUACCCUCCGUAUAAAGCGUCAAAUGCUCACAAAGUGUUUAUAGAGUUUCUCUUUUGCGUUAAAACUAGGUCCCUCUUCAUACAGUUCGUUAAGCAGAAAGAAUAUUAUGGUAACUUGUAUAGCACGCUGCAACAGUAAGUGUGGACUUUAUUGUUCAAAAGAUUCUUCAACAAGAGAUUUGGCUUUACAAUGUAACUCAAGAGCAUUGUACACAAAUAUUUCGACAAAUAAUAAUUUUAUAUAUGGCAUGUUAGUUGUAGUGAUUUUUUCCCCCAAACCUUCUGUCUAACUCAAUAUCUUUGAAACAGAGACUCUGCAUCUGUGUUGGUCUCUGCUUCUUUCGAAAACAGAGACGCUGUCUGCAUUAUUUUGUUCCUUCUAGUCCCACGGUAAUACUAAAUCAUAUACGAAAUAUGAUUAUGAUGCAAAAGAAGAUAUAACCAUAGUAAUAUGCAUACAUAUAGAUAUAGAACAAUUUUGACCAAAGCAAUGUAUAUGAUGGACCAAUAAUAUUUUUCCUCUAAACUAUAAAAUAUAGAACCCUAGUAAAACCUGAAAAUGAACAGUUUCACUUUAGUUUUGGAAUAUUUGAAUCUCAAGUUUGUCAAGAUAAAAAAAACUAUCAGGAGAAAACAUAUUUAACUUGAAUUCCCUAAUUAAUAACCCAAUUAUAAAGAAAAGCUAAGAGGCCCAGAAUAAAAGUGCUUCGACUUAGGCCUGGAAUGGACUCGUUUAAAUGUUCCGACGAUUCGGUUUAGUUUAGUGACGGCAGUAAAUAAUUGUAUAAUGUACGCCGUAGAUAUUUUUUCAAACAAGUUUAAUCCCUGACCGUCGAUAAAUAGUAAUUCUGACGUGGCGUCAUCGUACCCGUUAAACUUAAGAAACCAGUGACCAAAAGCAAAUUCUGUUACGGAUUUCAAAAAUAUUAAAAUAAGAAUAUAGAGUGCGGGUCAGUUCCGACUCCCGCCGGUAUAAAUCAUCGUCUCUCUCCCGUUUGAAGCUCAGAGAAAUGGUUAACGAAGCGGAAGAAGCGAACAUGCAGCUCGUUGCAGGAGGAGGAAUCAACGAUGGUGUGAUGGAAACGCCUAACAACUUAUCUAGACUCCGUUCCUACUGAGUGUACUGUGAUCAGAUCUAGAAUCUCUACUCCGCAAAUUAUUGCUUUAGUGGCUGCGAUCACUAAUCAUCAAGCGAGUAGCAGUAACACUAUGAGAGAAGAAGAGGAGGAAGGAUUAGAAAGAAGCAUCUCAGUGAGGAGGAAUUGAUUGAGAGAAAGAGACAUGUCAACAUGGUGAGUAAUCGCAGGACUAUUGAAAGGAAACAACUACUCUCAACCUAUCUCAAGAACAAGAAGAGGAUUGAGAGAUUGACAAUCUCAAUCCAGCUAAACACAGACAGGAAAGGCAAACCCACAUCCUUCUUCAAUGUUCGCAAGUGGGAGAGGGAGAAGGCUGCUUCUGCGAGUAUUGUCCAUCACAUCGAAGUUAACAAUUUCAAGAAGAUGAAGAACAAGAAGAAGGAGAAGAAGACACCAACCCACAUCUACUUCGAGUAGAAGAAGAGAGCAACUUCAAUUCAGUUUUUCUAAUUCAUGUUUCAGUAUAUUGGACUUGUGUUUCUUCCUUCUCUGCUGAUUUCCUUUACAUAUGUCGCUUAUAUUCGAUAUUAACAUUUGCUAAGUAGUUUGCCCAAUUCAUAAGAAAAGAAUUUAAUGUCUA